CCCUUAGAUGUUCUGGGCCGCACGCGCGCUACACUGACGAAGCCAGCGAGCAUGUCCUACGCCGACAGGUGCGGGGAAUCUUGUCAAACUUCGUCGUGAUGGGGAUUGAUUUUUGAAAUUCUUGAUCAUAAACGAGGAAUUCCUAGUAAGCGCAAGUCAGCAGCUUGCGUUGAUUACGUCCCUGCCCUUUGUACACACCGCCCGUCGCUACUACCGAUUGAAUGGUUUAGUGAGAUCUUCGGAUUGGCGCCACUGCAGCUCAGCAAUGGGCUUGGUGGAUGCCGAAAAGUUGAUCAAACUUGAUCAUUUAGAGGAAGUAAAAGUCGUAACA
rnacentral:rRNA from 1 species